UAUUGGUCCCUUCGCGACGCUAAGCUGUGAACCCCGCCAGGUCCGGAAGGAAGCAACGGUAGCAACUGAUGCGGGCGCCGAUGUGUGGCUGGUGCUC
rnacentral:SRP_RNA from 1 species